rfam:Cellulophaga phage phi19:3, complete genome.
AGCCGUUGCAGCGGCAUAAAAUAGGUUAUUAGGCUGCAAGCGUUCGCCCUUAAUUGGGCGGUGUUA